GCUGAGCCAUGCCCUGCAGCAUAACCGAAGUUCAAUCAGGAAGUGAAUGACUGUGUAGAUGGCACAGCAGGCUUAAUCCCUGGAACUUUAAUUUCCUUCACCUUUACAGGCUGGCAAAAAGAAGAGUUCAGAAGAAAAGAUGAAUAAGAAGGGGCCGGACAGAAGUACAGAAAGCCAUGAAUGCAGAAGAAAAGAUGAAAGAACAAAACUGAAAGCUCGAUAGGGGGCAAGGAGAGAAGAACUUGUCGGAAUAGAUACAUGCCUCUUGCUUCUGCCGUGAAAUCCUGCCUCAGCGCUGCCUUCAGCACUGCAGAUCCGAAGGCACACAGCACAACUUAUCAGGCUUCCUGUGAUGUUUGGAAUUCUCCUUAGGCUCCAGCUGUGGGCAACAGGCAACCUGUGUGGGAAAUUCAGAUUUCUUUGCCUUUUCCUUAAAGUAAAUUACAAGCACUUUGGGUCUCAGUGAACUGCCUAAAAGUACAGCACAGAGGCACUCCUCUUGGCUGGAGACAGAGGGCGGAUUACAAGCGUACAUGAUUUUAAAACCUUUAUGAACUUUAACCUGGCUUCUUGGUGAACCUGAUGUCUGGGUGUGGGUGAGCCAGCAAGACCUCACAAACAAUUUGGUAGUGCUUGCGUUUGGCUGUCCUGAGCAGACAAGUAGGCAAACAUCUGCAAUUUAAAAGACAUGAUUCACAAGAGGCAGCCACCACUGCAUACACACCGCAUAGAGAGGGAAGCUGGCUUGAGGCCCUGUGUUCCCUGUAUAAAUUGCAAAAGGGAAUGAAAUUCCAAGUAAAUGCUCAGACUUUUUGAUUAAAUCAAUCUAUUGCCACUA